rfam:Aedes aegypti strain Liverpool supercont1.115 genomic scaffold, whole genome shotgun sequence.
CCUCUCACGGCGUAGUGGUUAACGCGCCCCAACUAGAGAUCGGGGAGUCGUGAGUUCGAUUCUCACUGAGAAGA